UGAACGCUGGCGGCGUGCCUAAUACAUGCAAGUCGAGCGAACGGACGAGAAGCUUGCUUUUCUGAUGUUAGCGGCGGACGGGUGAGUAACACGUGGAUAACCUACCUAUAAGACUGGGAUAACUUCGGGAAACCGGAGCUAAUACCGGAUAAUAUUUUGAACCGCAUGGUUCACAAGUGAAAGACGGUCUUGCUGUCACUUAUAGAUGGAUCCGCGCUGCAUUAGCUAGUUGGUAAGGUAACGGCUUACCAAGGCAACGAUGCAUAGCCGACCUGAGAGGGUGAUCGGCCACACUGGAACUGAGACACGGUCCAGACUCCUACGGGAGGCAGCAGUAGGGAAUCUUCCGCAAUGGGCGAAAGCCUGACGGAGCAACGCCGCGUGAGUGAUGAAGGUCUUCGGAUCGUAAAACUCUGUUAUUAGGGAAGAACAUAUGUGUAAGUAACUGUGCACAUCUUGACGGUACCUAAUCAGAAAGCCACGGCGAACUACGU
rnacentral:rRNA from 1 species